rnacentral:rRNA from 1 species
AACGAACGCUGGCGGCAGGCUUAACACAUGCAAGUCGAGCGCCUCGCAAGAGGAGCGGCAGACGGGUGAGUAACGCGUGGGAACGUACCCUUAUCUUCGGAAUAGCUCUGGGAAGCUGGAAGUAAUACCGAAUGUGCCCUUAGGGGGAAAGAUUUAUCGGAUAAGGAUCGGCCCGCGUUGGAUUAGCUAGUUGGUGGGGUAAAGGCCUACCAAGGCGACGAUCCAUAGCUGGUCUGAGAGGAUGAUCAGCCACAUUGGGACUGAGACACGGCCCAAACUCCUACGGGAGGCAGCAGUGGGGAAUAUUGGACAAUGGGCGCAAGCCUGAUCCAGCCAUGCCGCGUGAGUGAUGAAGGCCUUAGGGUUGUAAAGCUCUUUCACCGGAGAAGAUAAUGACGGUAUCCGGAGAAGAAGCCCCGGCUAACUUCGUG